rnacentral:rRNA from 1 species
GUGCCAGCAGCCGCGGUAAUACGGAGGAUCCAAGCGUUAUCCGGAUUUAUUGGGUUUAAAGGGUGCGUAGGCGGCUCAUUAAGUCAGGGGUGAAAGACGGUGGCUCAACCAUCGCAGUGCCUUUGAUACUGAUGAGCUUGAAUACACUAGAGGUAGGCGGAAUGAGACAAGUAGCGGUGAAAUGCAUAGAUAUGUCUCAGAACACCAAUUGCGAAGGCAGCUUACUAUGGUGUCAUUGACGCUGAGGCACGAAAGCGUGGGGAUCAAACAGGAUUAGAUACCCUGGUAGUCCACGCCCUAAACGAUGAAUACUCGAUGUUAGCGAUAUACAGUUAGCGUCUAAGCGAAAGCGUUAAGUAUUCCACCUGGGGAGUACGCCCGCAAGGGUGAA